rnacentral:rRNA from 1 species
UACGGAGGAUCCAAGCGUUAUCCGGAAUUACUGGGCGUAAAGAGUUGCGUAGGUGGCAUAGUAAGUAGAUAGUGAAAGCGUGUGGCUCAACCAUAUACACAUUAUCUAAACUGCUAAGCUAGAGGAUGAGAGAGGUUAUUGGAAUUCCCUGUGUAGGAGUGAAAUCCGUAGAUAUAGGGAGGAACACCGAUGGCGUAGGCAGAUAACUGGCUCAUUCCUGACACUAAGGCACGAAAGCGUGGGGAGCAAACAGG